AAGGGUAUAGCUCAGUGGUAGAGUGCAUGCCUAGCAUGCAUGAGGUCCUGGGUUCAAUCCCCAGUACCUCCA
rnacentral:tRNA from 1 species